UACGUAGGGCGCAAGCGUUGUCCGGAAUUAUUGGGCGUAAAGAGCUCGUAGGCGGCUUGUCACGUCGGGGUGUGAAAGCCCGGGGCUUAACCCCGGGUCUGCAUUCGAUACGGGCUAGCUAGAGUGUGGUAGGGGAGAUCGGAAUUCCUGGUGUAGCGGUGAAAUGCGCAGAUAUCAGGAGGAACACCGGUGGCGAAGGCGGAUCUCUGGGCCAUUACUGACGCUGAGGCGCGAAAGCUAGGGGAGCAAACGGG
rnacentral:rRNA from 1 species